GAAAUCUGUUUGCCAGAAUUCACAAAGAGCAAUAGACCUCAUGUGAGUUAUGAAUCUGAACUUCAUCCUGCUGUGUGCUAUUGGAUAAAGACUCUAAGAGCUACAUUACAGAUUUUUUCGACAGGAAGUAUCACAGUAACAAGGCCCUAUUUAAAGGCUGUUGCUACUGCUGUGGAACAGAUUUACCCAUUUGUGUUUGAAAGCAGGAAAGAAAUUU
rnacentral:lncRNA from 1 species